rnacentral:lncRNA from 10 species
GCAUCUCAUGUGAAAAUGAAAUCAUGCUCAAAUCAAAGAACUAAUUUGAUUGCAACCAGACCGAAUAGAACACCCCAGACACAUUUUGCUUUAAUUUUAACUUCCAAAAAGUGAAAAGGAAGGAAGAAUUUCACUGAAACGGUUAUCCCUAAGCCUCUUUCAGAUUCGUUCAUAAAUCAAAGAAUACUAGCUCAACAUAAUUAAUGGCUCCCUCUGAGUAGUGAUUGUGCACUAGAUUUCUGCUUUCUUGAUUGCCCAAAGCUUGAGCAAGGUUGGAUUUUAGCGUACCAUAAGAAUGAGCAUCUGAUAUGGUCAUCACUGCUUCCUGCAGGCACAAAGCUAAUCUACAUUUCCCAACCCCCCUUGUAAGUAAUACAAUUAUGUGACCACCUUAUAGCUAAGGUGGUAUACCGGCCAUACACAGAAGAUUCCCCGGAGGACUACAAGAUACAGGAGAAUGGCAGAGCCAAUGGGUGAAACAAAACUAAGCCUUUAAGUCACUGCUUGAAGGAGAGCCACCCAACCAGAAAGGUCUGUGUUGAGCUCUUUAUACGUACAAAUAAACUUUUAUUGUUGUACUCCAAUUACUUUCUUUUUGAUGUUACAAAAUUUAGUCCACCGUGUGUAAUACACAGCUAUUUAAUAUGAAUUUUGUGCCAGAGUUGAAAUAUAAAAUAUGCAUUAUUUCCAUUGUUUCUAUGAAUGAUAUACCCAUUAAUUGUGCACACGCUCACGGACAAAUAUUCAAUGAUUUCUUAGCACAGCAUUGCCAGAGAGUUGAAAGCGAAGGAGGAGGAAUAGGGAAGUAGCAACGGCUUGAAAACACUGGGCUCUUUCCUGAACCAGCCUUGACUGAAUAAUGAACAGAUUCAGAGUCAGACGUUGCUACAGACAUCAGAUUACUAUAUCUUAGACCAAUUGUACUUUCUGCAUUCUGAGAUUCAGGCUCUUUCCUCUUAAUUUUUGCUGUUCAAAAUCAUGCUGCCUUCCUGAUUUUCUCAUAUCCAUGGAGCAAUGGCACAAUGGAAAGAGCAAGACAUUUGAACACUAGUGCAUAUGUCAGCAAAUCCUUGCUAUUAAGGAUUUCUACCUUCCUUUUCUGCUAUGCAAAAUACAGCUGGUAGUGUACACUUUCAGUGUGUGAUAAAGGUUUGAGUUAAAAUGAAUUAAUGUGUGCCUAAAAUAAAUGGAUCACAUUAGAAACUCAGGGAAUAAUAGUUUGUUCUAUUUUCAUUACUGACUUGCUUCCAUUGCUUUUCAUUUGAAUAUCACACAGGUUAGAACUUAGAUAUCUAUUGCCUUAUAUUAAUGAUCAUUUUACCAAUGCCAGUAUCAUGUACUAGAUAUAGAGUCUUAGAUAUGUAAUGUAAGGACAUGCUCUUUGAAUAUAAAAUAAUAAGUCCUGCCUUGAAAAUUAAAGAUAAAUUAAUAGAAAACUAACAAACAUACCUGUUCUUAAUUUUAUUAUUAAUUAAAAAUUUUGAGAGGAUAGGCAAUGUCUAACUAUUUUCAUCAUUAUAAUGCCCAGAAUAUUGUUGGACUACAGAGUAAAGAAUUUAAUGAAUGAUUGAGUGGAUGUAAACUGACUGAUUCUGAACCAAACUACUUUGCUAAGAUUUUUGCUUAUUUUUAUAUUCCUGUGUUUCCAUAUUUUGACAUUCGUCUUACUUGAAGUCAUGCUUUCCAAACUAUGAUGAGUUUAGUUAAUUCCUAACCCAGCGUUUUAUAAAAUAUGCUGCAUAUGACAGUUUUUUAAUAUGUUCUAUGAAAAAAAUAAAAAGUAAUCUGUGUCCAAUUAAGUUUACUGUACACUCUCUAGGGUAUUUUACUCUUAGAGACUGAUGGUGUACCUGAAGAUAUGAAGGGCUCCAUCAACUUGAGCAGUAAAGAGACAUUUUUACCUCUUCUUGUCUCAGUGUUUCUCUAAUGCUUCUGCCAAAUGAAACGUCCCCACCCUCACCAGCUACCCCAGUCUUCAUCACGAGGUACUUAUUAGCAACUUUUCAGAGCUAAUAUAAUAUUGAAAUACAACCCCAAAUCUCCAUAUUAAGCCUAGAAG